rnacentral:rRNA from 1 species
CUCUCGGCAUGCCUUAGUACGGCGAGUGAAGCGGCAAAAGCUCAAAUUUGAAAUCUGGCACCUUCGGUGUCCGAGUUGUAAUUUGAAGAAGGUAACUUUGGAGUUGGCUCUUGUCUAUGUUCCUUGGAACAGGACGUCACAGAGGGUGAGAAUCCCGUGCGAUGAGAUGCCCAAUUCUAUGUAAAGUGCUUUCGAAGAGUCGAGUUGUUUGGGAAUGCAGCUCUAAGUGGGUGGUAAAUUCCAUCUAAAGCUAAAUAUUGGCGAGAGACCGAUAGCGAACAAGUACAGUGAUGGAAAGAUGAAAAGAACUUUGAAAAGAGAGUGAAAAAGUACGUGAAAUUGUUGAAAGGGAAGGGCUUGAGAUCAGACUUGGUAUUUUGCGAUCCUUUCCUUCUUGGUUGGGUUCCUCGCAGCUUACUGGGCCAGCAUCGGUUUGGAUGGUAGGAUAAUGACUAAGGAAUGUGGCUCUACUUCGGUGGAGUGUUAUAGCCUUGGUUGAUACUGCCUGUCUAGACCGAGGACUGCGUCUUUUGACUAGGAUGUUGGCAUAAUGAUCUUAAGCCACCCGUCUAAAAAUGAAAACCAAAAAAAUUUGGCCUUCUUUUUUUGAACUUAAGGAAUGUUUUGGCCAUAAAAGGAAUUUUUAAAACCCCCCCCCUUUUUACAAACCCCGCGCUCCCACAAUAAAAACU